rnacentral:rRNA from 1 species
UACAUGCAAGUCGAACGCUUUUUCUUUCACCGGAGCUUGCUCCACCGAAAGAAAAGGAGUGGCGAACGGGUGAGUAACACGUGGGUAACCUGCCCAUCAGAAGGGGAUAACACUUGGAAACAGGUGCUAAUACCGUAUAACAAUCGAAACCGCAUGGUUUCGGUUUGAAAGGCGCUUUUGCGUCACUGAUGGAUGGACCCGCGGUGCAUUAGCUAGUUGGUGAGGUAACGGCUCACCAAGGCAACGAUGCAUAGCCGACCUGAGAGGGUGAUCGGCCACAUUGGGACUGAGACACGGCCCAAACUCCUACGGGAGGCAGCAGUAGGGAAUCUUCGGCAAUGGACGGAAGUCUGACCGAGCAACGCCGCGUGAGUGAAGAAGGUUUUCGGAUCGUAAAACUCUGUUGUUAGAGAAGAACAAGGAUGAGAGUAGAAUGUUCAUCCCUUGACGGUAUCUAACCAGAAAGCCACGGCUAACUACGUGCCAGCAGCCGCGGUAAUACGUAGGUGGCAAGCGUUGUCCGGAUUUAUUGGGCGUAAAGCGAGCGCAGGCGGUUUCUUAAGUCUGAUGUGAAAGCCCCCGGCUCAACCGGGGAGGGUCAUUGGAAACUGGGAAACUUGAGUGCAGAAGAGGGGAGUGGAAUUCCAUGUGUAGCGGUGAAAUGCGUAGAUAUAUGGAGGAACACCAGUGGCGAAGGCG